UUCACUUGCUUGUCUCAUUUUUCUCUCUGAGUGGGACUGAUGUGUGUGAAGGAAUCAGAGCGGAUAUAACGCUCGUUUUCCUUGUUGUCAGCAGUUGCUGUGUGUUGGACGAGCUUGUCCUCCUCUGCUGUGCACUUCAUCUAAAAAUUCCACAGAGGCAUAAGAGUGCUUCUUUCCGCUAUGAAAAAUGGAGCAGCACAAGCUUUUUCCACAUCACACUUUCUGUUACCAGGAGAUUAGAAAGAGAAGGUGGAGCACUCUGGAGAAAACAUCCUGCUCUGGGCAGCAGUAAUCUUCAUUGGAACCACACGACAUGCACAGAGCCGGGUAAAUUGUGUUCUCCUGCUCGCAUCUGAGAGGAAACACUAAACAAACUUUAUACUGUAGGGACAAAUUAUUCUCCUGAGAGCCAGUAUGUAACAGAACGUCCUUCAGAUGAAGUUUGAAUCUUUUAAUGUACGUGAAUAACUGGGACGACAGUUGUCUUGGUAUAUUUAUUCAUUCAUUUUCUCAGUUACAUCUGUUAUAGAACAGUACAAGCCUCAUCAGAUAAAUAUAUAACUUCAGUAAGUCGAUUUAAAUAGGGUUAAAUAAAUAAAUUAGCUGUUUGUAUAGAUGUAUGACAUGUAAACAUAGAGGGAACAAAUGUAAAAAUACAAAUGUAUAAAUAAAUAACAAGUUAAAUAGAGACAGUAUAUUCCUGAUAUGGCUAUUUCACUAUAGAUCUGCCUGAAAAUAAAU